UUUGUUUACCUUUUGCACUUGCCAAUUAAUUUGUAAAAAGAAAUAUAUAAAUUGAUCUUGAAGCUGCUGUGGAGGAAAAAUAACAAACGAUACACAUAUAAUAUGAUGUGCGUGUGUGUGUAUACAUGCAGGUAUGUGAUUAUUUGGUGAAGUCUAGAAUGGAGAAGCGCAUACACUUGUUGUUCAACGGAGCGAAAGCCUAUGUGUGCAGAUAUGUCUUGAUGUACUUGCGUACAUCAAUAUGGCGAUCGGUUAAAUUUUUGGAUGCCCUUAUGGCCACGAACAAUAUUUUAUUUGAGGUUUUUUUUUUUGGAUUUUUUAAAUACAAUUGCCCCUCGCUUUAACCACGGACAAUGUGAAGCGAAAAAAUAUGUUCAGACAUACAAAUAUGAAUAAAUCGGACUGGAGUUGCCGGAAAUUUGGCAAUGGACGAGUUGAGGUAGGUGCACUGCUACUUAUCUUGUUUGAAUUUGUAGCUGUUCCUGGAACCUUCUAUUGCAGAUCCACCAAUGCUUGCUGGGGCGAACUGGAUAUGCUAGAUGUUGAAGAAGUGUAUCCGGCUCGAAGGACCAAAUGUUGUAGUAGGGCGUCCGCAGGGCUUCCAGAUGAACUUUACGAAUUGCUGUAUCGUUGGGGGAGCGUUUCU